rnacentral:rRNA from 1 species
AAUAUUGCACAAUGGGCGCAAGCCUGAUGCAGCCAUGCCGCGUGUAUGAAGAAGGCCUUCGGGUUGUAAAGUACUUUCAGCAGUGAGGAAGGUGGAUAUGUUAAUAGCAUAUUCAUUUGACGUUAGCUGCAGAAGAAGCACCGGCUAACUCCGUGCCAGCAGCCGCGGUAAUACGGAGGGUGCGGAGCGUUAAUCGGAAUUACUGGGCGUAAAGCGCAUGCAGGUGGUUUGUUAAGUCAGGAUGUGAAAGCCCGGGGCUCAACCUCGGAAUUGCAUUUGAAACUGGCAAACUAGAGUACUGUAGAGGGGGUAGAAUUUCAGGUGUAGCGGUGAAAUGCGUAGAGAUCUGAAGGAAUACCGGUGGCGAAGGCGGCCCCCCUGGACAGAUACUGACACUCAGAUGCGAAAGCGUGGGGAGCAAACAGGAUUAGAUACCCUGGUAG